UACGGGGGGAGCAAGCGUUGUUCGGAUUUACUGGGCGUAAAGGGCGCGUAGGCGGCCACCGCAAGUCGGUUGUGAAAUCUCUGGGCUUAACCCAGAAAGGUCAACCGAUACUGCGGGGCUAGAGUGCAGAAGGGGCAACUGGAAUUCUCGGUGUAGCGGUGAAAUGCGUAGAUAUCAGGAGGAACACCGAUGGCGAAGGCAGGUCUCUGGGCUGACACUGACGCUCAUGCACGAAAGCGUGGGGAGCAAACAGG
rnacentral:rRNA from 1 species